rnacentral:rRNA from 1 species
AGUCGAACGGACUUACAUUGAAGCCUAGCGAUAUGUAAGUUAGUGGCGGACGGGUGAGUAACGCGUGGGUAACCUGCCUUGUACUGGGGGACAACAGUUGGAAACGACUGCUAAUACCGCAUAAGCGCACAGCUUCGCAUGAAGCAGUGUGAAAAACUCCGGUGGUACAAGAUGGACCCGCGUCUGAUUAGCUGGUUGGUGAGGUAACGGCCCACCAAGGCGACGAUCAGUAGCCGGCCUGAGAGGGUGAACGGCCACAUUGGGACUGAGACACGGCCCAAACUCCUACGGGAGGCAGCAGUGGGGAAUAUUGCACAAUGGGGGAAACCCUGAUGCAGCAACGCCGCGUGAGUGAAGAAGUAUUUCGGUAUGUAAAGCUCUAUCAGCAGGAAAGAAAAUGACGGUACCUGACUAAGAAGCCCCGGCUAACUACGUGCCAGCAGCCGCGGUAAUACGUAGGGGGCAAGCGUUAUCCGGAUUUACUGGGUGUAAAGGGAGCGUAGACGGUUUUGCAAGUCUGAAGUGAAAGCCCGGGGCUUAACCCCGGGACUGCUUUGGAA